UACGGGGGGGGCAAGCGUUGUUCGGAAUUACUGGGCGUAAAGGGCGCGUAGGCGGCCUUCUAAGUCGGACGUGAAAUCCCUCGGCUCAACCGAGGAACUGCGUCUGAUACUGGAAGGCUUGAAUCCGGGAGAGGGAUGUGGAAUUCCAGGUGUAGCGGUGAAAUGCGUAGAUAUCUAGAGGAACACCAGUGGCGAAGGCGGCAUCCUGGACCGGCAUUGACGCUGAGGCGCGAAAGCUAGGGGAGCAAACGGG
rnacentral:rRNA from 1 species